rnacentral:rRNA from 1 species
UACGUAGGGUGCGAGCGUUAAUCGGAAUUACUGGGCGUAAAGUGUGCGCAGGCGGCAGAGCAAGUCGAGUGUGAAAGCCCCGGGCUUAACUUGGGAAUUGCGCUCGAAACUACUUUGCUGGAGUGUGGCAGAGGGAGGUGGAAUUCCACGUGUAGCGGUGAAAUGCGUAGAGGUGUGGAGGAACACCAAUGGCGAAGGCAGCCUUCUGGGCCAACACUGACGCUCAUGCACGAAAGCGUGGGGAGCAAACAGG